UACAGAGACUGCAAGCGUUACUCGGAAUUACUGGGCGUAAAGGGUGCGUAGGUGGUUGUUUAAGUUUGCUGUGAAAGCCCCGGGCUCAACCUGGGAAUGGCAGUGAAUACUGGACAGCUAGAGUGCGGUAGAGGGUAGUGGAAUUCCCGGUGUAGCAGUGAAAUGCGUAGAGAUCGGGAGGAACACCAGUGGCGAAGGCGGCUACCUGGACCAGCACUGACACUGAAGCACGAAAGCGUGGGGAGCAAACAGG
rnacentral:rRNA from 1 species